rnacentral:rRNA from 1 species
UACAGGGGUCCCGAGCGUUGUUCGGAUUCAUUGGGCGUAAAGGGUGCGUAGGCGGUGGGGUAAGUUGGAUGUGAAAUCUUGGGGCUUAACCUCAAAAUUGCAUUCAAUACUGCUCCGCUCGAGUUCUGUAGAGGAGAUUGGAAUUUACGGUGUAGCAGUGAAAUGCGUAGAUAUCGUAAGGAACGCCAGUGGCGAAAGCGAAUCUCUGGGCAGCAACUGACGCUGAGGCACGAAGGCCAGGGGAGCAAACGGG